GACGAACGCUGGCGGCGUGCCUAAUACAUGCAAGUUGAGCGAUGAAGAUUGGUGCUUGCACCAAUUUGAAGAGCAGCGCACGGGUGAGUAGCGCGUGGGGAAUCUGCCUUUGAGCGGGGGACAACAUUUGGAAACGAAUGCUAAUACCGCAUAAUAACUUUAAACAUAAGUUUUAAGUUUGAAAGAUGCAAUUGCAUCACUCAAAGAUGAUCCCGCGUGGUAUUAGCUAGUUGGUGAGGUAAAGGCUCACCAAGGCGAGGAUACAUAGCCGACCUGAGAGGGUGAUCGGCCACAUUGGGACUGAGACAAGGCCCAAACACAUACGGGAGGGAGCAGUAGGGAAUCUUCGGCAAUGGACGGAAGUAUGACCGAGCAAAGCCGCGUGAGUGAAGAAGGGUUUCGGAUCGUAAAACCCUGUUGGUAAAGAAGAACGUUGGUGAGAGUGGAAAGCUCAUCAAGUGACGGUAACUACCCAGAAAGGGACGGCUAACUACGUG
rnacentral:rRNA from 1 species